GAUGAACGCUGGCGGCGUGCCUAAUACAUGCAAGUCGAGCGAACGGACGAGAAGCUUGCUUCUCUGAUGUUAGCGGCGGACGGGUGAGUAACACGUGGAUAACCUACCUAUAAGACUGGGAUAACUUCGGGAAACCGGAGCUAAUACCGGAUAAUAUUUUGAACCGCAUGGUUCAAAAGUGAAGGACGGUCUUGCUGUCACUUAUAGAUGGAUCCGCGCUGCAUUAGCUAGUUGGUAAGGUAACGGCUUACCAAGGCAACGAUGCAUAGCCGACCUGAGAGGGUGAUCGGCCACACUGGAACUGAGACACGGUCCAGACUCCUACGGGAGGCAGCAGUAGGGAAUCUUCCGCAAUGGGCGAAAGCCUGACGGAGCAACGCCGCGUGAGUGAUGAAGGUCUUCGGAUCGUAAAACUCUGUUAUUAGGGAAGAACAUAUGUGUAAGUAACUGUGCACAUCUUGACGGUACCUAAUCAGAAAGCCACGGCUAACUACGUGCCAGCAGCCGCGGUAAUACGUAGGUGGCAAGCGUUAUCCGGAAUUAUUGGGCGUAAAGCGCGCGUAGGCGGUUUUUUAAGUCUGAUGUGAAAGCCCACGGCUCAACCGUGGAGGGUCAUUGGAAACUGGAAAACUUGAGUGUAGAAGAGGAAAGUGGAAUUCCAUGUGUAGCGGUGAAAUGCGCAGAGAUAUGGAGGAACACCAGUGGCGAAGGCGACUUUCUGGUCUGUAACUGACGCUGAUGUGCGAAAGCGUGGGGAUCAAACAGGAUUAGAUACCCUGGUAGUCCACGCCGUAAACGAUGAGUGCUAAGUGUUAGGGGGUUUCCGCCCCUUAGUGCUGCAGCUAACGCAUUAAGCACUCCGCCUGGGGAGUACGACCGCAAGGUUGAAACUCAAAGGAAUUGACGGGGACCCGCACAAGCGGUGGAGCAUGUGGUUUAAUUCGAAGCAACGCGAAGAACCUUACCAAAUCUUGACAUCCUUUGACAACUCUAGAGAUAGAGCCUUCCCCUUCGGGGGACAAAGUGACAGGUGGUGCAUGGUUGUCGUCAGCUCGUGUCGUGAGAUGUUGGGUUAAGUCCCGCAACGAGCGCAACCCUUAAGCUUAGUUGCCAUCAUUAAGUUGGGCACUCUAAGUUGACUGCCGGUGACAAACCGGAGGAAGGUGGGGAUGACGUCAAAUCAUCAUGCCCCUUAUGAUUUGGGCUACACACGUGCUACAAUGGACAAUACAAAGGGCAGCGAAACCGCGAGGUCAAGCAAAUCCCAUAAAGUUGUUCUCAGUUCGGAUUGUAGUCUGCAACUCGACUACAUGAAGCUGGAAUCGCUAGUAAUCGUAGAUCAGCAUGCUACGGUGAAUACGUUCCCGGGUCU
rnacentral:rRNA from 1 species